rnacentral:lncRNA from 1 species
GAGCAAAACAAACAGACAUAAUAGGUAAAGCAUUGAUUGGUGUACAGCAGUCAACAUUGUGUUAUAGUCCUAAAUCUUAUAAACUAACAACUGUGUCAAAAACACAAGCAAAUAUGUAGACACUCCAUAGACAAAGCACAUAGAAAAAAAAACGACCGGAAUAUAUGUAUCGACCGUCGCUCUGAACACAAAGGUGGAAUGU